UACGGAGGGUGCAAGCGUUAUCCGGAUUCACUGGGUUUAAAGGGUGCGUAGGAGGGCAGGUAAGUCAGUGGUGAAAUCUCCGAGCUUAACUUGGAACUGCCGUUGAUACUAUCUGUUUUGAAUAUUGUGGAGGUGAGCGGAAUAUGUCAUGUAGCGGUGAAAUGCUUAGAUAUGACAUAGAACACCAAUUGCGAAGGCAGCUCGCUACACAUAUAUUGACUCUGAGGCACGAAAGCGUGGGGAUCAAACAGG
rnacentral:rRNA from 1 species